rnacentral:Y_RNA from 1 species
GGCUGGUCCAAAGGUAGUGAGUUAUGCCAAUUGAUUGUUCACAGUCAGUUACAGAUCGAACUCCUUGUUCUACUCUUUUCCCCUUCUCACUACUGCACUUGACUACUGUUUA